rnacentral:misc_RNA from 1 species
ACAACAGAAGCUCUAGUACAUGAAGCUCAACUAAGGCCGUCAGAAAUGGGUCCACACCCAAAGAAAAGAAACCCUAAAUUGUAAUGGAAGAUUGUGCAUUCAACAGGUUAUAAUUGUUCUGCUUUAGUUACGAUUCAUUGAUAGCGGUUGGAUUACAGAGCUUCAUAUAUGAACAGUUUUAUGUAAUUUAAUGUGUACCAAUUAUUUAUGUGGUGAGUUGCGAUGUUUGUGUAUUUUUAUUGACAGUAUUGCACUAAAUUAAA